GAUGAACGCUGGCGGCGUGCCUAAUACAUGCAAGUCGAGCGAACGGACGAGAAGCUUGCUUUUCUGAUGUUAGCGGCGGACGGGUGAGUAACACGUGGAUAACCUACCUAUAAGACUGGGAUAACUUCGGGAAACCGGAGCUAAUACCGGAUAAUAUUUUGAACCGCAUGGUUCAAAAGUGAAAGACGGUCUUGCUGUCACUUAUAGAUGGAUCCGCGCUGCAUUAGCUAGUUGGUAAGGUAACGGCUUACCAAGGCAACGAUGCAUAGCCGACCUGAGAGGGUGAUCGGCCACACUGGAACUGAGACACGGUUCAGACUCCUACGGGAGGCAGCAGUAGGGAAUCUUCCGCAAUGGGCGAAAGCCUGACGGAGCAACGCCGCGUGAGCGAUGAAGGUCUUCGGAUCGUAAAACUCUGUUAUUAGGGAAGAACAUAUGUGUAAGUAACUGUGCACAUCUUGACGGUACCUAAUCAGAAAGCCACGGCUAACUACGUG
rnacentral:rRNA from 1 species